UGUGUAAAUGUAGAACUAGAAAAAUAUUUAAAAUGUAACCGAUUGAAUGCUACAGAGGCCUUAUAGAAAGUUAUUGAUUGAUUGAAUGAAAGAAUGAUAGAACGAUACACAGAAUGACAGAAUGGUUGACAGAAUGAUAUAUAGAACAAGAAAACUUUCAUUGUUUCUAAACAAUGACAAUAAAGUUCUAUUCUAUUCUAUUCUAUUCUAUUCUAUUCUAUUCUAUUCUAUUCUAAACAUACCAACAGACAGACAGAUAAUGGUAGAUAUACUGUACACAGACAGACAGACAGAGACAUGUAUACAUGCAGAAUGUACAAUAACAGUAUGUUGUAUUUGUCAAACAUAAUGACACGACUGCCAACACAGUCUGAAGGAAGUCAAGGAGUCAUGCUCAACACAGACAGACAAAAGAAGAAAGAGGGAACACAAGGGAUGAAAGGUAGACAGUGUGACAGAAAAGCAAGUUAACUGAGGUUGAAAGGAUGAGAGGAUGAGAAGAGGAGGACUGAGAGAGAGAGAGAGAGAGAGAGAGAGAGGCUUUUGAAGGCCAUCAAAAAAAGCAAGAGAAGCUCUCAGUGGUUUUAAUAUGUUGUUCAUUUCUCUAAAAAGAGAGAAGUGAAAAUACUGACAAGCAGUGACACCAUGAGUGCUGUUUCCUGCAUUGAUGAUACAAGUGCUUAUGUGCGGGAAAACCACUGUGUUGAGGGGUUAAAAAGAGAGAAAAGGAAGCUGUUUUUAGGAAGAAGCAAAACGCUUGCGAUUCUGAUUACUCUUCUUCUCUCAAUGCAAUUGAUCACAGCUGUGACAGAGCACGCGUGUGAAUUCUGAAAGUCAAAAAGAAGACAAUGAACUGACAGAAAUCAAACAUCUUUUGAUGUCCUACUUUUAUUGAGAAGCAACAACACUGCAUCAAUGUAUAGGAAAAAUCAUCUUACAACUACAACAAAAAGAUACUGCUGCUGUCAUUUCCCUCCAUCCUCCACCACCACCAGGUUGGCCCUGUCCAUGCGGGGGGUAGGCUCCGCCCUGCCUUCGUCUUCGGCAGGAUUAGCUGGUAUCUACAAACUUCAGAUCCACGCUACGGAUGGGGCCUACGCCAAAAUAAUUCUAUUUUUUGUGUUUUUGGAAAUAAAUACUUCAGUCUUAUCUCUACCUCCUGAGUCUUUCUGGUAG
ensembl:lncRNA